rnacentral:rRNA from 1 species
AAGCUAAGCCCUCCAGCGCCAAUGGUACUGCACCUUAAUCAGUGUGGGAGAGUAGGACACCGCCGAAC